ensembl:lncRNA
GCGAUUCCCAUUUUCGUAUCGGUCUUCUUUGAUGCAUCCGUAUGUAUAUAUAUAUAUAUAUAUGUUCUUUAUAUUUCCUUAAAAUGUAUCUCUGUACUCUGUAGUGAUCCACUUCAGCAACUUCCUUUUCCUCCAGUAAGCCUAAGUCUACUGGAACCUCUGCCAAAAGCCAAGGAGGAACUGCUGGACAGACCACUGAAGGGCUUAUUUCCAGUGCACCAAUUGCCAUCAUAAUUACCUUCUGCCUCAUUGUCCAUCCAAAACUUUUAAUUAGGCCAUUUACUCUCUCUUGACAUUGCCAUAUUACUGACUGACUCAGAUGUUUGUCUCCAUGACCCCUCAAAUUCACCCAGUACACCAGAUACCAAAUACCUAAAUAUUUGAAGAAUUCCACUAGUUCUAAUUCUAUUCCAGAUAAUUUGAUUUUCACAUUCAUGCUUAUUUUCUUCCUAGAGAAGAAUAAAGUCUUUGUUUUGUCUUUAGAGAUCCUAAGUCCCCAUUUAACGGCCCAUUCUUGGAUUUUGUUUACUGCCUGCUGCAUCUUAUCCACUACAAAAUCUAUAUUUCUUCCCUUUUUCCACAUUGCUGCAUCAUCUGCAAACAAUGCUACCCCAAUUGGAUUCUGUAUAUCCAUAAAGAUAUCAUCAAUCAUUAUUGAAAAUUAUAGUGGACUGAUAAUGCUCCCUUGUGGGACACCAUUUUCCACCCUGUAGCUCUUACUUAAUUCCCCAUUUCCUCCCUCGUGUCUCCUGGGAGGAAGGUUUAAAACAGGCUCCUGAUUGCCUGAGUGAUUACCGACAACUGGGAGGUGCUCUCAGUGACACCUGGGGUAGUACCGCCCUUCCAUUACCAUGCCUCUUGGUGGCCCUCUCCUGGCUGUUUCUCGCCACGUCGGGCACACCGGCUGGGCCAUCACAAUAUAUAUAUAUAUAUAUUAUAAUGUGUGUAUAUGUAUGAGUACCGACCCACUUCGAGCACUGUGUAUAUAUACAUACACAAAUUUAUAAAUACUAAAACUAUAGCGUGUAAACUAUAAUACUUUAAUCCCACAUUUUUAUAUUAAUAAUCACGAUUAAAAGUUUUUUUUCUUCUAAAGACUAAAUCUUAUAAAUUGUGUGUGUGUUUUAGACAGUGUAGUUUAAUUUAAUUUAAUUUUAAACACUAAACCACACACGUUUGACCAUCUUGAAGGCUGUCCUCGUGCAGUUUACUGUGCUCUACAAUCCAGCCAUCUUCAACCACUUAUCCGGGGUCGGGUCAUAGGGGCAACAGCUUCACAAUGUGCUCAACAAUCUCCCCACAUUUGGCCAGGACAAUUUCCAAACCCCUGUCUAUUAGGGACACAGUGGUGGUCCUCUUUACUGUGUGCCGCACAGGGUAGAUGUUGAGAUGGAAGUAGCCGAACAGCUACCAACAUGUUCCGGGAAACUAUCAGUGCGUAAAGUGGUUCGUCAGCCACUCAUCCCUCUUCAGUUUAACAUGUCGAGGAAUUCCUUGAAACAGUUUUUUGCAAUAUGUUCUCUCCGUCUUCAGCUAUUGUCUCAGCCUCCCCGAUCGAACUGACUGCAGCAUGCAUCAGUUGCAAUAACGGUGUUAAAAUAUUGUAUUGCAUUAAUCUAGGCCAUAAUAAUCUCAUACAUUAACAUGUUAACCUUGACUGCCCUAACAAAAGCACAUAACACUAAUACAAUAAAAUUAGGCAUGAUAAUAAUAGAUUAUAAUUCAAAUAUGUAACUUAAGAAACAUACAAAAUGAAUAGCCACACUGAGUUGUUGGAUUUCUGUUUUGGAAUAUUAACAUUUUCACCUACUCUGAUUCUCUGGAAGGCACGUUUAAAAGUUUGCAGCAUAACGGCUAAAAGCAGCCUCACACAAUGUUUUUGUUCCGCUCAGUUGUUUUUGAGCAGCUAAAAGAGAAACCGAAGGGUCCGAGUGGCCCGGCGGUUCAUUAAAUGAAAGCAUUUCCUGGUGCUACACUCUGCAAUGCCUUCUGUACUUAUAAAUUAACUUUAAAAUAUCUCAAAUGAAUAGGUGGCUUGGUUGCCAUGGCAAUUGAAGUACCAGGGAGGACCUCCUAAAGCAGGUGAGAGUAUAAGAGGGGGUAGGGACAUCUUACGUUAAAGCACGGCAAAUCAGGGACCCAAUGGGGAGUCGUAGAUCAUGUUAUAAAAACAUAACCCAUCUAUUUGCAUUAUUACUAUAGCUGUCUAAAGGAUCCAUAAAAAUGUUACCUCCCUCUUUGUUUUUGUGUUACACCUCCGUGUUUUUCCCCCCCCAGCUAGUUAGUUUGAUCAACAGCCUCUUUUGCAAAAGUGAUAGAGAAAAGGAAUGUGGCAGAUACACAUGCAUGGACGGAAAAAGAAAGUUCUCAGCUUUUACACAAGAAUACCUCUGAAGGCAUAUAUUUCAUUAAGUCCUUAUUAUGAGGCUUUGUUGUCGGCCCUGCAACCUGCUAUAAUCUGUAAACCAUUACAAGCAUCUAAAAAUAACCACGUUAACAUGCACAGCUGCCGAGCCAACCGGCAAAAUUUUAAUAAAUGUCGUGUAAACACUGCCACAAUCUAAUUUAACGUGCCUGAACCACAGAAACAAUGCUUUGCCCCACAGCACCGUUUGGGUAAGGAAAAUGAUAAGCAAACCCAAUUACAAUUUUUUUUCAUUUACAUAUUUAAUUCAUAAGGUGGUGUUGUGUUUCCACUACUUUACAUUUGGCUUAAUAUAGAGACAAGCUACCGCAGCAGUGCAGGAGAAAAAGAAGGAGGCGGAUUGUUGUUUAGCAAUAAAACAUUGCUCAGAGGCAAAAGAAGCAGACGCUUGCACUAUCAAUGGUCAUGCAAUAACUUGCAUAACUUACAUUCAAGCUCUGCUGAGUAAAAAAUAACUAGUGGGGUUUAAAUGUAAUCUUGUGACCUAUAGUUCAGUGACGACUACUUUGUCAAAGAAAUGUUAUUAUAUGGCUGUAUACAUUUAGCCAUAUGAAUCUGUUCUGCGACCACAGACCUCCAUAUAGGAUAUCAAAUGGGAUCAAUGACACCAGAACUGACAACCAUUAGUCAUACACGGCUGAAAAGGUGGAGCUCAGGUGGAGGUGUAUGUGAAAGGGGCUUGUGGAGGAAGAAGCAAGAAUGGGUCACUUAUAAAGAAUUUAAAUCGAGCACCCUGUAAGAGAUUUACCAAUAGAGGAAUCAGUUGAUUUAUCAGCUGAUGUGGCUGCUGGAUGGCCGCCAACAGCUAAGGUAGCUGCGAUUGUCAGCAGGGCUUGACUUCUUGGCUUGUUUGUACUAACACUAUGCUCAAUUUCAGUCAAGACCACUUUUUCAAGGAAUCUUAAUUUACAGUGACCUAAGAUAUAUGUGAUGGUAUGGGUCUGUUCUUCGACCUCCCUGCAGCAGUAAGGACCCCUGAAAAGAUCAUGCCAGCCCAAACCGCCCGGGGCUUACUUGUACUUACAUUGCAGUCAAAGGAGCUAGCUGAGCAACUUAAUAACUCAUUUAACUAAAAGGAAAAAUGGUAAGGCCAAUUUUAUCUGAACAGAUUGCUGUUGAGGCAACUUAGUUAUUGAGUUAAUAAUAUAUUGAGCCCAGCAGAAAGGCCUUAAUGUGUUAUAUGUAUGAGUCAGCAAAUCAGAAAAAGAAGUCAUAGUGUUUUUUAGCGUCAAAGAUGACUUGAGCCUCGGGCCAGAGGUAACGUUCAUGGACAGUUUAGCAGUGUAGCUCUCUGUUGGAAGCCAAGAGGCAAACCAAGUCAUAGAUGACAAAGGAAAGACAGCAGGUAUCUUUAUCAAUCUAUUUUUAAAAUAUAGAGCAGAAGGGAGAGUUAAUUCAUACGUCAUUGAUACAUGACGUGAGGUCAUCCAAAUAUUCUGUGCAUGUAGUGAACUCCUGUGGCGCCCCUGAGAAACACAAAAAAAGAUGUACAUGUAAGGAGGACUGAUUCUAGAAUACUAGAACCAAAGCACCUAUUCUUUCAACAUGGGUUUUUAUUUUUGCAGGAGAGGGACAGCUAAAGGGAAUAUUACUUCCUUAUGUUUUCUCUCUUUCUAAGCUGUUUAAAAAGGAAAUUGUCACAGUUUCACGUCCUGUUUUAUUUUGUAGUUUUCUGCCUCUUGUUUCCCUGCCUAACUUCACUUCCUGCCUUGUCCUGUCAUCCCCUGUGAUUGUCUGCCGUAUCAUGAUUGUUUCCACCUGUGUACAAUCACCUGCACCUUCCCAGUGUAUUUAAGCCUUGUGCCUUGUUGCGUCAUUGUUGAUUGUUGUCAGGGAGUGUCCUUCCCUGAGUGUUCCUGGUUCCCGGUUCCUGUCUGCGUUUUGCCCCCUUGACUUUUUGAUUUUGAAUUUUGGGAAUUUCAAAAGGUUACAUUACAAAGGCAAAUAUGAUUAAAAUAUUGAUAUAUUGUCAAAUAUAUUAAGCAAAAUUUCUACAGCGAAGGUGGCACAAACGGGUAUUAAGUAAGAUUCAUGGCUUUCGUAUGUAUACUUAGCUAAGACAGAAUGCAUAUAGCGAACAACCGAGAGCAUGUCGUUUGCAGGGUUGUGUCUAGCACAAUUUCAUGGAAUAGAGGGCAAGUCAGGCUUGAUGGCGCAGCCUAUGGGCACAGUUGGCAAAAUUUAAGAAAUUUAAAACCGGGACAUAGAAUAAGCUAUUUUGUUAUCCAAGCCUGGAAUAUGAGCUUCUCGGAUGGCCACAAAAGGCGCCUCACAAAUGUAUUAACACUGAGCAUUGUCCUUUGUUGAGGAUAUUCACGGCUACUAAAAAAGAGGAUUCAUUUUCUUGACCAAUGUUGACCCCACAGCGUACAAGCUUUAACAGUUGGGUACAUUUUCAUUAGAGAAGUUGAUGAACUGUGAGGUGGCAAGGAUGACAGUUCUUCUGAACCACUGGUUAUUGAAAAAAACAUUGAAACAGAAAGGGCUGCGUAUCUAUAUAACCCAAUAGCUAAUGAAGAUUCUAGUUUCCCACUGUAAAAUAAUGAGAUGACAUUGCAUUUGAUGCAUAGAGAGCAGAACUUGAACUUGGAUUUACACCCUCCAUUCAUCUCACCAAGUCAGGGAGUUUCUGAGAAGAAGUCACAGAUUGAGCACGAGAGAGAUUGAUGCAAUGUCAAAGGCCUACUUGUGGGAGCCAGGUUGACUACUGACCAGUCCAGUCUCUGGUUGAAUGGUGUGGAACAAUAUGGCAGCUUUUGCAGAAAACAAAUGAUGGUGUUUGUAAAAUAGUGUUCCAUCUGGAGGCCGAUUGUAAGUUGUUCCUAGGUAGGAGUCCAGCUAUGCUCUAAAGGUUGCAUAAACUACACAUAAAACAUCUCUGAACAUGAAAAAGUUAAAAGAGUUAUAGAUAGCCAGGUUUUGGCAUCCUUCAGCAGCCCUGAGACUCAGUGGCCGCAAGGAGCUCCCAGCAAAGUUCUCAUCCAUCAUACCUCUGAAAUGUAUAGCCGUUAUUCUUUGGGGGCAAGAAUGGUCCAAAAAACAUCACAAUUCAUUCACACAACAGUACUGUCAUAGACCCUCUGUUGGCUGCUGUCCCGACAUUUUAAAAAGACCAACUUCAACCGACUUUUGUGUGAACUUUUAUUUGAAUGACUGGGAAAGUCAUUCAUUCCCAUGGACAGUGCCAGUGAUACACACAUGAUUCUAAUGUCGGUUA